AGCGAACGCUGGCGGCAGGCUUAACACAUGCAAGUCGAGCGGACCUUUCGGGGUCAGCGGCGGACGGGUGAGUAACGCGUGGGAACGUGCCUUCCGGUUCGGCAUAUCCCUGGGAAACUCGUGCUAAUACCGGAUACGCCCUUAUGUGGAAAGGUUUACUGCCGGAGGAUCGGCCCGCGUCUGAUUGGCUUGUUGGUGGGGUAAAGGCCUCCCAAGGCGAGGAUCAGUAGCUGGGUUGAGAGGAUGAGCUGCGACACUGGUACUGAGACACGGCCCAGACUCCUACGGGAGGGAGCAGAGGGGAAUAUUGGAAAAUGGGGGCAAGGCUGAAGCAGCCAUGACGGGUGAGUGAUGAAGGCCUUAGGGUUGGAAAGCUAGUUUAUCCGGGACGAUAAUGACGGUACCGGAGGAAUAAGCCCCGGCUAACUUCGUG
rnacentral:rRNA from 1 species